rnacentral:rRNA from 1 species
GCCUGCCCGGUGACAAAGUUUAACGGCCGCGGUACCCUAACCGUGCGAAGGUAGCAUAAUCACUUGUUCUUUAAAUAGGGACUAGUAUCAACGGCAUCACGAGGGUUACACUGUCUCCUUUCCUCAAUCAGUGAAACUGAUCUCCCCGUGAAGAAGCGGGGAUAUGACUAUAAGACGAGAAGACCCCAUGGAGCUUUAAGCUCAACAACACCUCCACAUAAAUAUAUCCCUAUAACCCACGAACCCUGUUUGUUAGCUUUAGGUUGGGGUGACCGCGGAGUAUAAUAUAACCUCCACGACGAAUAGGCCUAAAACCUUUAUCCAAGAGCCACUGCUCUAAGAAUCAUAAAAUUGACGUAAAAUGAUCCGAUUUUCGAUCAACGAACCAAGUUACCCUGGGGAUAACAGCGCAAUCCAUUUCAAGAGCCCCUAUCGACAAAUGGGUUUACGACCUCGAUGUUGGAUCAGGGUAUCCUAGUGGUGCAGCCGCUACUAAAGGUUCGUUUGUUCAACGAUUAAAACCCUAC